rnacentral:rRNA from 1 species
UUAGCUGUAAACGAUGUGAACUUGGCGUCGGUGGGUUUAAAUCCAUCGGUGCCGAAGCUAACGCGAUAAGUUCACCGCCUGGGGACUACGGCCGCAAGGUUAAAACUCAAAGGAAUUGACGGGGCCCCGCACAAGCAGCGGAGCGUGUGGUUUAAUUCGAUGCUACACGAAGAACCUUACCAGGGUUUGACAUGCAAGUGGUAGGGAUCCGAAAGGUGACCGACCCCUCGGGGAGCUUGCACAGGUGC